GCCUGGGUGGUGGAACAGGCAGACACAAGGGACUUAAAAUCCCUUGGGGUUAAUCCCCGUGCGGGUUCGAUCCCCGCCCCAGGCA
rnacentral:tRNA from 1 species